rnacentral:rRNA from 1 species
UACGGAAGGGUGCAAGCGUUACUCGGAAUUACUGGGCGUAAAGCGUGCGUAGGUGGUUUGUUAAGUCUGAUGUGAAAGCCCUGGGCUCAACCUGGGAAUUGCAUUGGAUACUGGCAGGCUAGAGUGCGGUAGAGGGUAGUGGAAUUCCCGGUGUAGCAGUGAAAUGCGUAGAGAUCGGGAGGAACAUCUGUGGCGAAGGCGACUACCUGGACCAGCACUGACACUGAGGCACGAAAGCGUGGGGAGCAAACAGG